CCUACGGGUGGCAGCAGUGGGGGAUAUUGCACAAUGGGGGGAACCCUGAUGCAGCGACGCCGCGUGGGUGAAGGAGUAUUUCGGUAUGUAAAGCCCUAUCGGCAGGGAAGAAAUUGGACGGUACCUGACUAAGAAGCCCCGGCUAACUACGUGCCAGCAGCCGCGGUAAUACGUAGGGGGCAAGCGUUAUCCGGAUUCACUGGGUGUAAAGGGAGCGUAGACGGCCAUGCAAGCCAGGGGGGAAAGCCCGGGGCCCAAACCCGGGACUGCCCUUGGAACUGCAUGGCUGGAGUGCGGGAGGGGCAGGCGGAAUUCCUGGUGUAGCGGUGAAAUGCGUAGAUAUCAGGAGGAACACCGGCGGCGAAGGCGGCCUGCCGGACCGCGACUGACGUUGAGGCUCGAAGGCGUGGGGAGCGAACAGGAUUAGAUACCCUGGUAGUC
rnacentral:rRNA from 1 species